UACGUAGGCAGCGAGCGUUGUUCGGAGUUACUGGGCGUAAAGGGUGUGUAGGCGGUUGUUUAAGUUUGGUGUGAAAUCUCCCGGCUCAACUGGGAGGGUGCGCCGAAUACUGAAUGACUUCGAGUGCGGGGGAGGAGAGUGGAAUUCCUGGUGUAGCGGUGAAAUGCGUAGAUAUCAGGAGGAACACCGGUGGUGUAGACGGCUCUCUGGACCGUAACUGACGCUGAGACACGAAAGCGUGGGUAGCAAACAGG
rnacentral:rRNA from 1 species